rnacentral:lncRNA from 1 species
UGGAACGCUGAGCAUCUGAAGAAAUAUUACCAGUAAUAUGCCUGAUUGCCAUUUGACUCAAUCGCCCAGUGCAACAUUGCCAUAAAGAAACUCCGUUUGUAUCGCGAUAAUUUUAUGGUUGCUAGACUUUCAGAUAAUAAAAUUUAUCCAAGUCAAAAAUUGUUGAAAAUUGUUAUUAUGGUUCGCCAAUAAUUUAUCUUGCCAAUUGUGCAAGUUUUAAAUUGUUAGUGGGUAUCGCCAUUACCGAGAAUGCCUAUUCACUACGAUAUGACAAGGCUUCCUGAUCGCCAUUAGCGAGAACGCCCUCUUCAUUAUGAUAUGAUACAAGGCAUUCUAAACGUCGUGAGAUUCGGUGGUCGCCAAUGUUGCUUCGCCUUAUAAGUUUUCGUCGCCAAAAUUAUGAUUGCCUUUAAUAUCAAGUGACGUCAACAUGAUAUAAAAAGAUGCAAUAAAAGAGAGAAUGAGGAACGAAGAUUUUUUCUUAUUUAUUUAAAUAAAGAUUACAUCUCGCCUAAAAAAAUAAAAUUUUUUUAAAGAGGGGUGGUAUCUUCUUUACCCCCUCGUUCUCGCCAACCUUCUCUUUUUCUUUCUCCUCAGUGGCCUCGUCUUGCUCCUCCAGAAGAUCUUGGUCGACCAUGAUGCCUUCAAGGUCGAUGGCGAGGUCAGGGUGAUGUCGACGAAGCUGCACCUUGCAAAAGUCGAACCCCUCGCUGAAAUAUUUGGAAGCAGAAUCUUCGAUCGCUACCACAAACUCCGAUGAGGAUUUGAACUCCUCAAUAGAAGAUUCCUUGGCUUUACCCAAGGCUUCCCUCAGCUCGACCACCAGGACCCCUGACCUCUCGACCUUGUCGGCAAGCGAGUCUCGAUCACUCUUCGUUUUGGCGAGCUCAUCGUUGCCUGCUGCUCGCGAACCCGGGCCUCAGCCAAUUGUUGUUCAAGGUCGACAGACAACUUCUAAAGGCGAGCAACUUCGGUCUCCAUGGAAGCAGCUCCCCAACCUCCCUACUCCGGACAACCAAAGACUAGCUGAGCACCAGUGCUUGCUAUAAAGAAAAAACACUCUUUUAGCACAAAUAUAUAUAUAUAUAUAUAUAUAUAUAUUUGAAAACACUCCAAAUUGUACCUGACCGAUCACAUAAAAAAGUUUUGUCGUCGUUUAAUCCAAGGUUAGCUUCUCCACCUUUUCCUUGUCAGCCGGGGGAAUCACCCCCUGCAACAGUUUCUCGGCCACGGAUGGGCUGCCCAAAAUAGAGGUCGUGGGGACCAAAGCGGGCACCGAGGGUGGCCGAGGUACCUUCCCCGGGAUGCGACGAGGCCAUGGCUGGGGUGGUCAGAGCAUUGCUCGAAGAGGUCGCCUUCUUCUUGCCUUUAGGCUCGUGAUCAACCCCUUCCCCUCGAGCCGUCGUCGACCUUCCCCUUUUUGCUGGCUGAGCUGGCGAGACUCUUUUCGGUACGCUUCUCGCCAAUCACUACCCCUUUGGCGGGGGUAGGAAUUCCUGAAGAACUUCCGUUCUUUGACUUCUUGAGCUUCUCACCGAGCUUUUUAAAGCUGAUCCUAUUUGACAUAGCUACAAAACAACGGUUCAUACGGAUCAGGCGAGGAAAAUAAAAAGUAACCUCAGAAACAGAAUGGGGCAAUACCAUUCGAGUCAAGUUCGACGGGUUGGCUCGAUCCAAAUAGGAUUCUGAUGUAGGAUUCGAGCCCGAGCUAGGAUUUUGGUUAAAAAUAGGAUCGAAAAUGUUUCCCCCCGACCACCUCAAAAGGGUUAGGUCGGGGAUGUGAGGCAAGAUCCUCCUCAAUUCUGUCCUAAUAGAUCCUAGGCAUUCUACUGAAUCAUCUCGGGAAGGACUUUGUCGCUGAGCGUAUUUAUGGGAAUUUUGGGACUCAGCCACGUUGCCCGACGAGCUCGGCGCUUCGCCGCUUGGACGGUUCUCACCUGCAAUCCCCGAAGCCAUGGAUCCAGGAGAAACAAUUAUGCGGCGGAAUGACUUCGACUCCAGCAGCACCGGUACAGAGAAGUGCCCUGUCUUCUCGACCGAUUUGAAAAUCUCCUAAAAAACUUUUGGCUUAUCGCUGUAUAGCCGAGGUGGAUUGUUGCAGUGCUUAUAUGAAAAACAACAAUAAUAUUAACCCUCCGAGCACCUAAUGUAAAGACAAAAGCAAGAUGAGAGGUUGAGAUGAGAGGAUUAACCAACCUGGAACCCCCCAUGCCCUCAGGACUCUCAGGGCGCCCUCCCAAGGUGAUCCUUCAGGUAACUCCCAUUCAUUGCUCGAGACAAAGAAAAACUUGCUCUUCCACCCUUUGACAUUGCUAGGGUACCCUCCGAGUAGAGUUUUCUUAUUCCUCGCCUUGAAAUAUAGUCAACCUUGAUCCGGUUUAGGGUUACUGUUAAGGCUGAAUAAGUUCCUGAACUCGAAAAGGGAGAGGGUAUACUUGAAUACCCGUCACAUCGCCAUAGAACAAACGAUGCUUCUCCAAGCAUUAAGGACAAGCUGGGC